AAAGACUAAUGUUUAACAAAUUUUUAAUUGCACGAAUUAAUAUUGUUAUUUAAUAACAUAAACGGUAUGUAUCUGUUUCUAUUGUGUACUCUUUCACACACAGGAAAUGCAAAUAGAAGUGCAAAUGGGCCUUGCUUCUCACCCACACUAUAAUAUUUUCAUUUUGUGCAUACCUGAUGUAAUUCAAGAGUAGACAACUAUAUGCAUGGUUAGAAGAAAAUAAAUUUGGCAAAAAAAAGCAUCUAUGUGAGUUGGAAGAGUCCAAAACAGAAUAUGUGAAUAUAUAAACGGACGAAUUAUACAUGCGAAACGCACCUGAAAAUGGCAAAUGUGGUAGAAAUUAAACAAGAAACACAACUUUUUAAAUAUAUCCCUUCAUGUGGAUCAAUAUUUCGAGAUAUUAUAAACGAAAUGCUUAGAUAUUUUACAGAGAUGGAAAUGGCGAUGAAAAUUCUUUGAGAAGUUAAGUAAAUACCGAAGUGAAUGUCGUAUAGUCCAAUACUAAUAAUAUUCUAAUAUUCCAUCUAA